GCAGAUGUUUGCCGUCUUCUGAAGUUGGAUGCUGUUGCUCUUUAUGGGUGGACACCUCAAGCCUUCUGAUGAGAAAGUGGAGCAAGUGAACCAUUAUAAGAACAUAUUGAAACCAGUGGAAUGAUGCCCAGCACCUGGACUCUGUUUAUCCAUCAUGAAGCAGGGGGCCUUGAAUUGUGCCAGAGUCACAGAGACCUGAUGAAAAUGUUCUUGUCUUCAUCCCUGGGACCACUGACCCAAUUCAAGAUAAGAACUGCACAUGUGUAAAGGACUAAUAACCUAAUUUUAAUUCAAAGUGGGGAUGGGAGGUACUGGGGUUAUACAUAUAUAUUAUUUUGGGAAAUAAAUAGAAGGCAAAGAACCUUGUGCAGUGCAGUCACACAUUUUGGGGAUGACCCCCGUGGUGCUGCCCACCAUUUUCUAACUUUGACUAGUUAGACUUUGUCUGUGAUUUUUGGUUUUAAUGAUUCAGUUGGAAGGUACCCUAAAGAUCAUCUGGUUCCAAGCCCCCUACUGUGGGCAGGGACACCUUUUGCCAGACCAGGUUGCUCAGAGCUGCAUCAUCAGAGCUUUUCUUUGAGACCCAUGCUGUCUCAAGGUCUGAACUGGGAGAAGGAGUCAGCAAAGAGACACUUUCUGUGAGAUGGUUAUGCAAAGCUGGGAGGUUGUUUGCCAACUGCUUUUUUUUAUCAGAAGACAAUCCUAUUCUGGGCUGUGAAGAGAAAUGAGGAAAAUUUCAUCUUUGGCACAGAAACAAAUAUAAAGCAGAAUAGCCCAGGCAGGGCACUGUGCUACAAUGUGAGCAUGCUGUCAGAAGCAAAGUUCCAGGUGAAAGGCAAAGUCCACUCUGCCACACAGACAGCAGCUGCAUAUUGCCCAGUGAUGGAUGCCAAGCAGCUUGGCAGAUAGGCUGUUCCAGUGUUUGAAAACCCCACAGUGAGAAGAAUGCUGGUGUUCAGAAGGAUUUCAUGUGUUUCACUUCUUGUGAGAAGAAGAAAUGAAACACAUGAAAUCUUCUUCCUUCUCUUUGUGUACUAAAGUGUGCUAACUAAAGGACAUUUUUUUGAAGAAAGGGAAAAUGUUACUUUUCUGAAAUAUAAUCAGCUCAUGAGAAGGGUUAUGAAGAUAUGCAGAGCCUAGUAGAAAAGAUGAAUAAUGGCUCUUUUCAUAUGGACUUGAAUGAAUGGGCUUCAAUGAACAGUUUCAAGGCCUACAGUUAGCAGUACAUAAGCUGUAUAAAGAUAAAAUCAAGUUGUGAGCAGAAUGUUACAUGAGCCAAAAACAGGUCACAUUUGAAUCUUUUCUAGGGAACUUAUCAAAGUUACUCAUUCCCAAGGAUGUUGAAAAACUAUUUGCAAUGUGUGCAGCUUUCCACAGUCAAACAAUACUGAUUUCUAGCAGUGUGCAACAGAUGACAUUUUAAAUGUUGUAACAGAAACAUUGUAAACUCAGUAGAAUCCUAAAAUGGUGUUAAAAACUCAGUUUAUAUUAUAUUGGUGUUGAAUGCUUCAAGGCUUUUUGGGAAAUGUCCAUGAGGAAAGAAUGGUUGCUGAAAGCUGGCUGUGCAGCUCCCCAAGUACUAACAGACAAAGGAAACAUGCUGCAGAAGGUGUCAGGUGGGCUUUCCAUUUAGUCACCUUUUUAGCCCAAAUUCCCCUGACGGACAGCACAAGCUUCCUCCCUGUGUACUUUCUCUUUCUGGACAGCAAUGACAGAUUAUGAUUAUGUUGCACGUGCUAUUUCCUAAUGAUCAUUGUCAGAUGGAGGUGACAAAAGACCACACAGUGGCCCUAGGACUGUUUUCUGUCAGUGGUAUUUUUCCUGAAGAUGAACAUGGACUGCUCAUGGCUCUAAGAAAGAAGAACAGGCAUUUUAAAAAGCCUGAAACCCUUGGGUCUUGUCCUGAGCCCAACUAAGAUCAGACUUCUGGGUUAGAGAAGAGGUGGCACAGAACCUGCAUGGUCCUGCAGAUGUGUGCAGUGCUGCAGGCCUCCUGCUCUUCACCCAGAGCUCUUUCCUGGUGGUUUCUGAGGGAUUCUUAUUUUGCCCAGUGAUACUGCAGUAAAUGGGCCAUAUUAGUUUGAAAGAGCUUAAUCAAUCAGCACUCACAGAUACAAAAUCUAUUUCCUGUAUUUGCAAAAUUCAUUGCAACUCAUUCAUUUGAAUAAUACCAUUUGCUGAUCAGAUAUUGUCCAAGAUGAAUAAUGAUGAAACAGGGCUGCUGUGUUCCUAGGCUGUGAUUAGUUUUAUUUCACUCAGAAGCAGUGUCUUUCUUCAUUGAUCUAAUCCUUCUGAUUUUUCUUCUGUGACAACAAAAAGGUAUGGAUCAUCCUCCACAGUAAAUGGCCUGGGUCUGAUUUUCUAUUUUUGUUUUUAAGAAGUCAUCUUCCACUGCAGCAUUGUGCCAGGCUCUAAGCUUCCUCUGGUGGACUGGUGGUCUUGGAUGCAACAGCCUAGUAUUUAGAUCCUCAUUUUUCUACCGAACUGACAAAAUUCUCUGAUUGCUGU